UCGGGACGGGGCUGGUUUGUGGGAUUUCGGCAUCCCCCUGGAUUUGGGGACGUGCUGAUCCCAAUGGGAAUGGUUUGGGAUGGGUUUUUUUGGGAUUUGUGUGUCCCCUCUGCAUUUGGGGACAUGCUGAUCCCAAUGGGAAUGGUUUGGGAUGGGGUUUUUUCGGGAUUUGUGCGUCCCCUGUGGAUUUGGGGACGUGCUGAUCCCAAUGGGAAUGGUCAGGAUGGGGCUGUUUUUGGGAUUUGUGUGUCCCCUCUGGAUUUGGGGACACGUGGAUCCCAAUGGGAAUGGUCAGGAUGGGGCUGUUUUUGGGAUUUGUGUGUCCCCUCUGCAUUUGGGGACACGUGGAUGCCAAUGGGAAUGGUCGGGAUGGGGUUUUUUUGUGGGAUUUGCACGUCCC
rnacentral:lncRNA from 1 species